CACAUAAGAGCCACAUUGCCACGUGCAACAGGACUUGUUAUAAAUAAAUAAAUUGAGAGAGAGAGAGAGAGAGGAAAAGAAAGUGCACUUCAGGGGUCCAAAAAAGUCAUUACAAGGAAUACAACUAAAGAAAUAUCCUCAACAGCUUUCUACCAUAAAAUCCCCAUCUACCCCCACUUAAUCAAUCAACUCUCUUUCAAAAUUCAUGAGAGGCUCCUGCCACAAAGGAGCAGGCGAAUAGUUCUCUGCACAAAAUCAAUACCUGCGGAAUCCUCAAUCGAGCAUCCGGCCUGAUGGGCACUCGAAAGCAAGGUGUCCACGACCACCACAGUUGCUGCAGAUGACGAUGCCCACACAGUCGCGG